CAGCCCUUCCGUAGGAUCCUAUACCCCCUUUUCAGCUCAUUCUGUGCCUUGUCUCCUUUACAGAAGCAGGUUCCCCUCCCUCAAAUAGUCUGUCCUUCAGCAAGGUUCUGUUAGGGCACGUAUCAUCUCCCAUCUCCAAGCUAGCCUAACCCAUUUGGUACUCCUGCUCUACUCUUGUCCUUGUAGCUGCGAUACCCCAUAGCUAGAGUUGGUUGCUUUUGGUACUCCAAAACAGAGAUGGAGGAAAUUCUGGGAGUAGGCCCGAUGGUAGCAGUGGUGCAGCUUAGGGAAUCUGUCUGUGUGACUCUCAGGAUCAGUUUAUGGCCCUAAGUGCCUUUUUGAAAUCUCAUGCUCUAGAGGAGCAUCGCCUAUUGUGAAACUGUUAACUUUCUCUUAGGUUGUUUAUGGCAUAGUGGUAUGCCUAAAUUUGUUUUCACAGUAUACUUCUGGAUGACUGUAACAAUUAUCCUUUUAUACGUUUAUGUCCAUCUGAGUGUUUCUAGUUACUGUAAUUUUGUGAUGCUUUAUUUAAUAGUUUAAUCUAUUGAG